CGGGGUCCUCGACGGCGACCGUGUCCCCGGGCCUGAGAUGCGCGGCCAGGACCCGUUCGAUGGCGUCGAGCGACCCCGA
rnacentral:tRNA from 1 species